ACGAACGCUGGCGGCAGGCCUAAAACAUGCAAGUCGAACGAACCUUCGGGUUAGUGGCGCACGGGUGCGUAACGCGUGGGAAUAUGCCUCUUGGUGCGGAACAACGUCUGGAAACGGACGCUAAUACCGCAUAAUAUCUACGGAUCAAAGAUUUAUCGCCAAGAGAUUAGCCCGCGUCUGAUUAGCUAGUUGGUGAGGUAAUGGCUCACCAAGGCGACGAUCAGUAGCUGGUCUGAGAGGAUGAUCAGCCACACUGGAACUGAGACACGGUCCAGACUCCUACGGGAGGCAGCAGUUAGGAAUAUUGGACAAUGGGGGAAACCCUGAUCCAGCCAUGCCGCGUGUGUGACGAAGGCCUUAGGGUUGUAAAGCACUUUUGGCUGUGAAGAUAAUGACAGUAGCAGAAGAAGAAGCUCCGGCUAAAUUCGU
rnacentral:rRNA from 1 species